AACGAACGCUGGCGGCGCGUCUUAAGCAUGCAAGUCGAGCGGCAGGGGGAGGCUUGCCUCCUUACGAGAGCGGCGGACUGGUGAGUAACACGUGGGCGACGCGCCCCCGGGAUGGGGACAGCCGCUGGAAACAGCGGGUAAUACCGAAUACGCCCCGCGCGGUUAGAGCGCGCGGGGGAAAGGCGCUAAGGCGCCGUCCGGGGAGCGGCCCGCGGCCCAUUAUGCUCGUUGGGGCGGUAACGGCGCACCAAGGCUGUGAUGGGUACCCGGCCUAAGAGGGCGACCGGGCACAUUGGGACUGAGAUACGGCCCAGACUCCUACGGGAGGCAGCAGCUAAGAAUAUUCCGCAAUGGGCGAAAGCCUGACGGAGCGACGCCGCGUGGGUGACGAAGGCCGAAAGGUUGUAAAGCCCUUUUGCGCGGGAAGAAGGAGCGGGGGAGGGAAUGCCCUCGCGGCGACGGUACCGCGCGAAUAAGCAACGGCUAAUUACGUGCCAGCAGCCGCGGUAACACGUAAGUUGCAAGCGUUGUUCGGAAUUAUUGGGCGUAAAGGGCAUGUAGGCGGCGCGCUAAGCCCGAUGUGAAAUUUCCGGGCUCAACCCGGGACGUGCGUCGGGGACUGGCGCGCUUGAGUCGCUGAAAGGGUGCCGGAAUUCCUGGUGUAGGGGUGAAAUCUGUAGAUAUCAGGAAGAACACCGAUGGCGAAGGCAGGCAUCCGGCAGACGACUGACGCUGAGGUGCGAAGGUGCGGGGAGCGAACAGGAUUAGAUACCCUGGUAGUCCGCACAGUAAACGAUGCACACUAGGCGUCUGCCCAAGCGGGCGGGUGCCGAAGCAAACGCGGUAAGUGUGCCGCCUGGGGAGUAUGCCCGCAAGGGUGAAACUCAAAGGAAUUGACGGGGGCCCGCACAAGCGGUGGAGCAUGUGGCUUAAUUCGAUGGUACGCGAGGAACCUUACCUGGGUUUGACAUGCAGGCCGGCCCGCCGGAGACGGCGGGGGGCGGCAACGCAGGCCUGCACAGGUGCUGCAUGGCUGUCGUCAGCUCGUGCCGUGAGGUGUUGGGUUAAGUCCCGCAACGAGCGCAACCCCUACUGCCAGUUGCCAGCAGAUGAUGCUGGGGACUCUGGCGGAACUGCCGGCGACAAGCCGGAGGAAGGUGGGGACGACGUCAAGUCAUCAUGGCCCUUAUGUCCAGGGCUGCACACGUGCUACAAUGGGCGAGACAGAGCGAGGCGAGGCAGCGAUGCGGAGCAAAACGCUUAAAAACGCCCGUAGUUCGGAUCGGAGUCUGAAACUCGACUCCGUGAAGGUGGAAUCGCUAGUAAUCGCGCAUCAGCACGGCGCGGUGAAUACGUUCCCGGGCC
rnacentral:rRNA from 1 species